rnacentral:tRNA from 1 species
GCGGCUUUAGCUCAGCUGGAAGAGCAAUUGGUUUACACCCAAUAGGUCACAGGUUCGAGCCCUGUAGGCCGCA